rnacentral:misc_RNA from 1 species
GAGAUUUUUUUUUUUUUUAAUUUUGAUUCUAGAGAAGUUGGAAACAAAGGGAAUAAAGGUGCAGGUGUGAGUGCAGGUGAAUGCCAUUUUGGCUACUUUGAUGAUGAUGAUGGUGGUGGUGGUGAUGUAUAUGAUCAGGAUAAUAUAUAUAUAUAUAUUUCACAAUCCACAAAAUUUUCUGCUUAUGUACGGCCCUUUUCUUGCUUCUUGCUGAGCUUAGAUGCUGAUUUUGAUUUAUAGAUGAGAUGGGUUUUCCAAGACUAUAUGCCUUUUAUGUGCUACUUCAAGGGAGAGGCUAAUUAUCCCUAUGGGAUUAGCCGAUUGGGAGUAAUCUUUGAGCUUUUUAUCUAUCAAUCGAUGUUUUUUCUUUAUUAGUUUCUUUUAAGCAGAGAUCCAUGAGUAUACUAUAUCUGCAACGCACUUCUUUGGCUCUUUAUAGUUUAUGCAGAUCUCCACCACACAGCUAGGGUUUUCUCAAGGUAACUGAAAAUUAACCUCCUUUCUAAUCUCUAUCUCUCUCUCCCUCUCUC